rnacentral:rRNA from 1 species
UACGGGGGGGGCAAGCGUUGUUCGGAUUUACUGGGCGUAAAGGGCGCGUAGGCGGCGUGACAAGUCACUUGUGAAAUCUCCGGGCUUAACCCGGAGCGGCCAAGUGAUACUGUCGUGCUAGAGUGCGGAAGGGGCUACUGGAAUUCUCGGUGUAGCGGUGAAAUGCGUAGAGAUGCGGAGGAACACCGAUGGCGAAGGCAGCCCCCUGGGUUAACACUGACACUCAUGCACGAAAGCGUGGGGAGCAAACAGG